GGGGCAGAGCCAGCACCGGAAUUUUUAUUCCCGACCCUAUAUAGUGGUCUUUUAACCUUAAAUUCUUUAUUACAUAUAAAUAUUAUACCUUAAAUGUGCCUUUAGUUCAAAUACCAGAAUAGAUUUACCACAUUUUUACACUUAAAAUACAUAUUUUUUAUUUCACCAAAAUACCAUUUUUUAUUGUCCACACCAUAACCAAAGCUUGCAACUUUAUACAAUGUAUAAGAAAAUAUACCUUCAUUGUCUCCCAAUAAAAGACAAAUGUGUCAUAUACACAAAUCAUUUUAAAACAGUAAUCAUUCUGAAAGAAAAAUAUGUAUCUGCAUUAUUGCAUCCAUUAAUUUAGGUCGAGGCAAAGAACAAUACAAUGGAUAUUCUGUGCUCAAAUGUAGACUACCCAUCUAAAUAAAAUAUUAUAUAUACAAAGUGUAUGUACACACAUAGAAUUCAGCAUGUUACAAUACAGUCAAUAAGAACGAGUGAAACAGUUCUCAUCAAUAAAAAGUAGAAAAAAAACAUCCUCACAAAAAGUGCAAUUCAACCAGACAUGCAGAUAUUGUAGAUCUUAGCACAUGCACGUAUUAAGACACAGGUCCAAAAGCAUACAUGUAGAGAUAGCAUGCUCGAAGUGCACCAGCAUGGAGAGGUAAGUUCCUAUUAUAAAAUAAUAAAAAUGUUUAUGAAGAGACAAGUCUAAAGAUAGCCUCAAAACCCAUACAAGGUUAUUUACUAAAUUGUAACUUUUUGGGAAUUCAAAGUGAAUUUCUCAUUUUAAACCACAAGAUUAAAACUGGAAUAAUUCUCCAACAGUUAUGUUUUCAUUUUGGCCAUGUUGGUCUAAAAUAUAAAACUGACUAUUAAUUCACUAUGAUUUUCCAGCCAUUUACACUUUAGUGAAUAACCUAUGAGUAAUAGAUGCAGUAACUCUGGCUACACCUUACCCUAAUAAAGCAUGUAUCGGAAGACAUUCUUCAUUCUACCAGGAACCUUCAAUGAUAGUUUGUAGAAGUUGCAAACUGUGGACAAUAUUCAGUGGUUCAUUGACAUGUGUUAUCUGGAUAUUCUGAUAACAUUUUUAUGAAUCACAUAAACCACAUUAACAUAUGUAACUUAUUUGCAAGUUCCAAUGUCCAACAGUUAUCCUAGAGAAGUAUUGAUGAACUGCAUCAAGUAUUUAUCUACCACCUGUUUUUAAUCAGUCAUGGCUGCCAUUGUGCUUUUUAUUUAUGUAAAUGUUAAGCCAUAACUAUAGAAACUCUUCUUAUUGUUCUAUUCCAAAUAGCCCAAAUACUCUUUAUGCAUGUAAUAAGUCUUGGCUGUUAGGUAACCAAAAACAACUGCAGGUUACCAAUCAGGACAGGGUUGUCAAGCAUUGCCCACACCACCACCCCAGAUAUUGUUGGAUCACAAUUUCUAUAAUCCUCUUUCCCUCUAUUGCAUUCAAAAAUGUGGAAGCUGCUGGUGCAUCAACAUCUGGGGGAUGUGGAGUUUGAAAACCCCGUAUUAAAAGUUUAGAUUCCACCAAAACCACAUUCCCUGAUCAGCGAUUCAAUUAUAGUUUACAUUGUCAUAAAAUAUUGAACUGUUUAUCUACAUAACUUUUUUUUUUAAAUAACAUUAAAUAAAAAGGCUAUUUCAAUUUAAAGCAUGCAACAUUUACCAAAUAUGAUUGGUCUGUAGGCUUCAUAUUAUAAACCAUGUGCUACAAGUAAGCCAACAGAUUGAACAUAUAUGUAUAUAUACUGCAAAUAAUUUUUUUAUUGAUAUUACACAUUGCAAGUUAUUUUUUAUUAAUAACAUAUUGGGGAUGUGCCUGUAUUUAUAUAUUUCUUAAAAUAAAGAUAUUCCUAUUUUUUGGUUUGGUUAUAAGAUGAAUAAUUUUUCACAAUUAUGUUAAUUAUUAGCUAUUGAUUUUGUCAGUGCAGGAGGAGAAAAU
rnacentral:lncRNA from 1 species